rnacentral:tRNA from 3 species
GCGGAUGUGGCGGAAUUGGCAGACGCGCUAGAUUUAGGUUCUAGUGCCGAGAGGCGUGAAGGUUCAAGUCCUUUCAUCCGCA